GUAGCAAUGGACGGGGCCGAGCAGAACGCCUGAUCCGGCUACGCCCGUAGAAGACGUCGAAUUGCAGCGAUGGACGGGGGUUCGAUUCCCCCCAUCUCCACCA
rnacentral:tRNA from 1 species